rnacentral:lncRNA from 1 species
GGUGAGAUAUCUGCAUUAUUAUCAGGAUUAAAAGAAGAAACAACAACUAGAGGUGAGAUAUCUGCAUUAUUAUCAGGAUUACAAGAAGAAACAACAACUAGAGGUGAGAUAUCUGCAUUAUUAUCAGGAUUAAAAGAAGAAACAACAACUUCAGGGGCAGUCAAGAAAUGGAACAGCAAGGCCACAACAUGACAUAAGCAGAGCUGUGGGAGACCACCUCAAGCCCCUGGUAGAGCCGGGAGUGUUGUUUACCACUCCACCACGCCUUCAGCAGGCUGGAAUAGUGAUACUGUUUUUUCAGACUAAGGUGGACCAAGAAAUGUGUUACUUUUACACAUAUUUGUUCAUUGGUUUGGCAAGAGUCUUGAUUGGUCGGUCAUUGGGUUAAUUUGUUUUGCAAUAUGUUCAAAUCAAAUUAAGCUUUAUUUAUACAGCACAUUUCAGACUUGGAUGCAACACAAUGAUUUCACAGGGGAAAAAAACAAUGAAAAUAAACUGAAAUAUUAACAACAACAAACAUAAGAUAAAAAACAGAACUAACAAUUGAAAGACUAAUGAGCAUAAGGAAAUUCCAUUGAUUAAAAUAUUAAUUGGAUGCAAUAUCCAACCCAAAAUAUAAGCUUGUUUUUUAGGAGGGGUUCUGAAAGACACUAUAGGGGUGUCUACUGAAAGUUGCCUAGUAAGAACAACUGGGACCUAAAAGACAACCACCAUGAGACCCAGUUAACCUGCCCAAGAGGCAAGAAAAACCCACACCAAACUUAAAGACAGGAAGCAAACCAAAAAGGUGUUGACUCUCCACAUCUAUCAAGACAACUGGAGCACUGGGCCAGACACUCAUAAAUAUAACCUGAACAAGCUCAGGUGAAACACCUUCCCACUAACCAGAUGGACAAGCCAGUACAGGUGUAACACAUACUGACUAACGAGGUGACACCAAUCAGUGCAUCCUACGUGCUAACGAGCUAGACGUGCUAAAGUCCAACCACAAAACAUAAAUGAAAAAAAUAUAUACAAUCAUAUACUUUUUUUCUCCUUUUACUUUCUUUAGAAUCCUAAAACUCACUAGUUUCUAGAACUCUCGUCCUCCUAAAACUCAGUAGCAUCUAGAACUCAAAUCCCCUUAGAAAGAGCCCAAAUGAAACUCAAAGCAAAUUGUAUUAGUCAUGUCUGAUUUCAAGAGCAAACUCCUGCAAUAUCCCGAUAGGCAUGUUAGGCAUGUUGUUGGAUCAGGGCCCAGUCCCCAAUGUCAUGCUCUAGUACAUUUGGGUUGGUACAUCUGAGAAUCCCUGAUAUUAUAAAAGCAGGAUAACAAU